rnacentral:rRNA from 1 species
UACGUAGGCAGCAAGCGUUGUUCGGAGUUACUGGGCGUAAAGGGUGUGUAGGCGGCCUGUUAAGUUCCGUGUGAAAUCUCCCGGCUCAACCGGGAGGGUGCGCGGAAAACUGGCGGGCUAGAGUGCGGGAUGGGAGAGUAGAAUUCCUGGUGUAGCGGUGAAAUGCGUAGAUAUCAGGAGGAAUACCGGUGGUGUAGACGGCUCUCUGGGACGGUACUGACGCUGAGACGCGAAAGCGUGGGGAGCGAACAGG